rnacentral:rRNA from 1 species
CCUACGGGAGGCAGCAGUGAGGAAUAUUGGUCAAUGGGCGCAGGCCUGAACCAGCCAAGUCGCGUGAGGGAAGACUGCCCUAUGGGUUGUAAACCUCUUUUAUAAGGGAAGAAUAAUGACUACGUGUAGUCAGAUGCCCGUACCUUAUGAAUAAGCAUCGGCUAACUCCGUGCCAGCAGCCGCGGUAAUACGGAGGAUGCGAGCGUUAUCCGGAUUUAUUGGGUUUAAAGGGUGCGUAGGCGGUCCGUUAAGUCAGCGGUAAAAUUGCGGGGCUCAACCCCGUCGAGCCGUUGAAACUGGCAGACUUGAGUUGGCGAGAAGUACGCGGAAUGCGCGGUGUAGCGGUGAAAUGCAUAGAUAUCGCGCAGAACUCCGAUUGCGAAGGCAGCGUACCGGCGCCAGACUGACGCUGAGGCACGAAAGCGUGGGGAUCGAACAGGAUUAGAUACCCGUGUAGUC